rnacentral:misc_RNA from 1 species
UCUGCUUCUCACAGGCUGUAC